rnacentral:rRNA from 1 species
AAAGAUGGUUCGGCUAUCACUNCUGGAUGGGCCUGCGGUCGCAUACUUGUUGGUAGGGUNCAACGGCCUCCCAAAGGCAUUGAUGCGUUACCGAGUUUGAGAAGACUUGAUCGGCCACUAAUGGGAACUGAGACACGGUCCCAUACUCCUUAACGGGAAGGCAGCAGUUAGGGAAUCUUCCAACAAAUGGAGCGCAAGUCCUGAAUGGAAGCAACACCGCGUGAAUUGAAGAAAGGGUUUCGGCUCGUUAAAGCUCUGUUGUUGAAGAAAGAAACGUGCAGGAUGAGUAACUGUUCCUGCUAUUGACGGUAUUCAACCAGAAAGUCACGGCUAACUACGUGCCAGCAGCCGCGGUAAUACG